rnacentral:rRNA from 1 species
GUGGUUAAGCUACUAAGAGUGCACGGUGGAUGCCUUGGCGUCCAGAGCCUAUGAAGGACGUGGUUAAGCUGCGAUAAGCUUCGGGAAGCCGCUAAGCAGGCUAUGAUCCGGAGAUCUCCUAGAUCGGGAAACCGUCCGAGAGUCUGUCUCGGAACCGCCAAAAGCGGAGGGAACGCAGGGAACUGAAACAUCUCAGUACCUGCAGGAAAAGAAAGAAACAUCGACUCCCCCAGUAGCGGCGAGCGAACGGGGAUCAGCCUAAACCUUUGCAGUGUCAAGCCUGUGGGCGUUGCUGCAAUGGUGUCGCGGGACUCACAUGGACCCCCACAGAGGUCUGACGGAGUCAACAACUACAUGCCUAGACGAACGGUGUGAGAAAGCCGGCCGUAGAGGGUGACAGCCCCUUAGUCGAAAGGUCAUGUAGCUCCGGUGAGCAUCCCAAGUAGCGCCAGACACGGGAAACCUGGUGUGAAUCCGGGGGGACCACCCCCCAAGGCUAAGUACUACUGGACGACCGAUAGUGAAAUAGUAGCGCGAGCGAAAGGUGAAAAGAACCCCUGUUAGGGGAGUGAAAUAGAACCUGAAACCGUGUACUUACAAGCGGUCGAAGGCCUAUGGCCCUUCGGGGCAAUGGCUGACGGCGUGCCUUUUGCAUAAUGAUCCGGCGAGUUACUCUAACUGGCAAGGUUAAGGACUUAAGGUCCGCAGCCGAAGGGAAACCGAGUGUGAAUAGCGCGAAUCAAGUCAGUUGGAGUAGACCCGAAAGCAGGUGAUCUAUCCAUGAGCAGGGUGAAGCGAAUGUAACAGUUCGUGGAGGCCCGAACGGGUAUAGGUUGAAAACUGUUCCGAUGACUUGUGGAUAGGAGUGAAAGGCUAAUCAAACCUGCAAAUAGCUGGUACUCCCCGAAAUAGCUUUCGGGCUAGCCUCUAGUAAUAUCUCGUAGGGGUAGAGCUACUGAAUGGGAUAUGGGUCCUUCGGGAUACCAUGCCUAAUCAAACUCCGAAUACUAUGAGACGUACCUAGGGAGUCAGUCUACGAGCGAUAAGGUUCGUGGACGAGAGGGCAAGAACCCAGAACGCCGGCUAAGGUCCCUAAUGCAAGCUCAGUGUUGUUAAGGAAGUUGAAUCUCUAAGACAGCCAGGAUGUUGGCUUAGAAGCAGCCAUCAUUUAAAGAGUGCGUAACAGCUCACUGGUCGAGAGGUUCUGCGCCGAGAAUGAUCGGGACUUAAGCUUGCAACCGAAGCCGCGGCUUGAAUUGAACAGUUGUUCAAUUCAGGGGUAGGGGAGCGUUCCAAGCGAGUGAAGGAAGACGGUAACGACUUCUGGACGCUCUGGAAGUGAUUAUGCCGGAAUAAGUAGCGAUAAAGCAGGUGAGAAGCCUGCUCGCCGUAAACCCAAGGUUUCCUGGGCUCCGUAAAUCCGCCCAGGGUCAGUCGGACCCUUAGACGAGGCUGAAAGGCGUAGUCGAUGGAUGACAGGUUAAUAUUCCUGUACCACUGCAAGGCGUUAAUACCUAGGGGGGACGCGAAACAGAAAGCAAUCACACCGACAGAUGUGUGUGUACAAGCCCGAGGGCGGCAUGGAGACAACAUGCAUAAACCCGGAGGUGACGUCGAGCCGCAAGGCGAAGUUGCUGGAUGAAUCGCCAAGAAAAGCCCCAUAGGGAGUUUUGUAGUGUCCGUACCUAAACCGACACAGGUGGGUGAGGUGAAUAUCCUCAGGCGCUCGAGUGAACCGCUGUAAAGGAACUAGGCAAUCUAACCCCGUAACUUCGGGAUAAGGGGUGCCCAUUGUGGUGGAGACCCUCGCGGUUGAAGCCUAGAUGGGUCGCAGAUAAAUGGCUCUGCCGACUGUUUACUAAAAACACAGGUCUGUGCAAACUCCUAAAGAGGAUGUAUACAGACUGACGCGUGCCCAAUGCUGGUAGGUUAAGAGGAGAGGUUAGCGAAAGCAAAGCUUUGAAUCGAAGCCCCAGUGAAUGGCGGCCGUAACUAUGACGGUCCUAAGGUAGCGAAGUUCCUUGUCGGGUAAGUUCCGACCCGCAUGAAUCGCGUAACGAGUGGAGCACUGUCUCUACAGCGGUCUCGGCGAAAUUGUAGUCGUGGUGAAGAUGCCACGUUCCCGCGCCUAGACGGAAAGACCCCGUGAACCUUUACUGUAGCCUGAUAUUGGGGCUUGCUCUGUAGUGCGUAGCAUAGGUGGGAGACGUUGAUGCCAGGCUUCCGGGCUUGGUGGAGUCAUUAGUGAAAUACCACUCUCUGCAUUGUAGGCUUCUAACGUGAUCACGUGAAUCCGUAUCACGGACAGUGUCAGGUGGGCAGUUUGGCUGGGGCGGUCUCCUCCAAAAGAGUAACGGAGGAGCACGAUGGUGCACUCAGCGCGGUUAGCAAUCGCGCGUCGAGCGUAAGGGUAUAAGUGCGCCUAACUGUGAGAGAUAUAGCUCAAACAGAUACGAAAGUAGGUCCUAGUGAUCCGGCGGAUUCCGAGUGGAAGGGCCGUCGCUCAUCAGAUAAAAGGUACUCCGGGGAUAACAGGCUGAUCGCAUCCAAGAGUUCAUAUCGACGAUGCGGUUUGGCACCUCGAUGUCGGCUCGUCGCAUCCUGGGGCUGAAGGAGGUCCCAAGGGUUUGGCUGUUCGCCAAUUAAAGCGGCACGCGAGCUGGGUUUAGACCGUCGUGAGACAGGUCGGUCCCUAUCUGGCGUGGGUGUAGGAUGAUUGCGGAGUCCUUUCCCUAGUACGAGAGGAUUGGGAAGGACGACCCUCUGGUGCACCAGUUAUCACGCUAGUGGUAUUGCUGGGUAGCUAUGGUCGGAACGGAUAAGCACUGAAUGCAUCUAAGUGCGAAGCUCUCUCCAAAACUAGUCAUCCCAAUGAGUCCCCUGGAAGACUACCAGGUUGAUAGGCCGGCGGUGUACGCAUGGUGACAUGCUCAGCCAACCGGUACUAAUCGGACCAACGGCUUAACCACCCUUUUC